rnacentral:rRNA from 1 species
UACGGAGGGGGCGAGCGUUAUUCGGAAUUAUUGGGCGUAGAGGGCGCGUAGGCGGCCCGGUAAGUCAAAGGUGAAAUCCCUCGGCUCAACUGAGGAACUGCCUUUGAAACUGUCGGGCUUGAGGCCGGGAGGGGGUAGCGGAAUUCCCAGUGUAGCGGUGAAAUGCGUAGAUAUUGGGAGGAACACCGGUGGCGAAGGCGGCUACCUGGACCGGUUCUGACGCUGAUGCGCGAAAGCGUGGGUAGCAAACAGG